CAUAAUUUUAAAUUUAUAAAUAAAUUUUAUAUGGUUUAAAAAAUUUAUUUUAAAUUUAUUUUACAUAUAAAUUAUAGUGUUAAUAUUUAAUUAUUUAAAAAAUAUUUUUAUUUAAAUUAGUAGUAAUUAAUAUUAAAAAUUUAAGAAAUUAAGAUUUAGUAAUAUAAAAAUUAUUAACAAAUUUUGUGCCAGCAGUUGCGGUUAUACAAAAAUUAAAUUAAAUUUUAUUAGUUAUUUAAUAAAAAUAUUAUUUUAUAAUAUAAAUUAUAUUAUAUAUAUAUAUAUAUAAAUUUAAAUUAUUAGGUGAAAUUUUAAUUUAAAAUUAAUAUAUUUUAAUUUUUUUGAUUUAGUAAAUUUUGUUAAUAAACUAGGAUUAGAUACCCUAUUAUUCAAAUUUUAAGAUAAAAAUAUUAAAAUAGUAUAUAAUUAUUUAUUGAAACUUAAAUAUUUUGGCGGUAUUUUAGUUUAUUUAGAGGAAUCUGUUUAAUAAUUGAUAAUCCACGAAUAAAUUUACUUAAUUUUAUUAUUUUGUAUAUCGUUGUUAAAAAAAUAUUUUUUAAAAAUUAUAAUAUUUAAAAAUUAAAAAAAUAAAUUAAAUCAAAUCAAGAUGCAGAUUAUAAUUAAGAAUAUAAUGGAUUACAAUAAAUUUAUUUAAAUGAAUUUUAAUUUUUAAUAAUUAAAUGAAGGUGGAUUUAAAUGUAAUUUUAUAAAUUUUUUUAAAAUGAUUAAUAAUUAAAUUAUGUACAUAUUGCCCGUCGCUUUCAUAAAUAAAUUGAAAUAAGUCGUAACAAAGUAGAGAUACUGGAAAGUGUUUCUAGAAAGAA
rnacentral:ncRNA from 1 species